CAAGGGGUGGAUCACUCCUGAUGCAUCGAGAAAAUUAAAAUGCAUUUCAAUGCAAUCGUUCUCUUUGAAAAUUUCUAAACUCAUGGUAUGCUGUGAUUUUUGGCUCUGGGUUUGAUUGUUGUUGUGUAAGUGUCAAUUUCGUCCAUACUUAAUUUACUAUCUUGGCAGCUAACUUUUAUAUGAAUCAUCGAAAGCAUUGGCCAUCCAGAGUUCUCAAUCUAAAUUUAUCCUUUCAGGAUCUAUAUGUGGCUAGAUGUUCCAUCGACCAAAAUUGCCUUGUCUCGGAAUGGCUAAAUUGUCCUCUUUUGAAAUGCAAAGCUGAUAAUUCUGAUUCACUUAACCAAAGCUGGAAAUGGUUGGCGGACUCCGUAAGGAAGAUGUCCAAAGUUAUGAGGACAUGAUAAGAUUUCAAAUUGUGAACCAGAACGAGUUCACCGGCAUCAUCAUUGGCGAAGGGUGCUGUUAUAGAUGAAAAUAAUUAUGAAAAAUGCUCCUUGUUGGGGAAUUCUCUCCAUGGAUAAGGAACAAACUUAAUUUAUAAUCUUUAUUUUGAUUGCCAAUCAUGUAUUUAUGAAGUAAAGCUUAUGGGAGAGGGAGGAGGUUGAUUUAUUUACAGCUUUUCUAGACGAUUUCUACUUUAUUAAACAAUCGAUUUAUAUUACA